AACGAACGCUGGCGGCAUGCCUAACACAUGCAAGUCGAACGGGAUCCUAGCUUGCUAGGUGAGAGUGGCGGACGGGUGAGUAACACGUGGGAAUCUGCCUUUUGGUUCGGGAUAACCGCGGGAAACUGCGGCUAAUACCGAAUGCCCUCGAGAGAGGAAAGAUUUAUCGCCAGAAGAGGAGCCCGCGUCCGAUUAGGUAGUUGGUGGGGUAAAGGCCUACCAAGCCGACGAUCGGUAGCUGGUCUGAGAGGAUGAUCAGCCACACUGGGACUGAGAUACGGCCCAGACUCCUACGGGAGGCAGCAGUGGGGAAUAUUGGACAAUGGGGGCAACCCUGAUCCAGCAAUGCCGCGUGAGUGAUGAAGGCCUUAGGGUUGUAAAGCUCUUUUGCCAGGGAAGAUGAUGACUGUACCUGGAGAAUAAGCCCCGGCUAACUCCGUGCCAGCAGCCGCGGUAAU
rnacentral:rRNA from 1 species